rnacentral:rRNA from 1 species
UUUGAGAGUUUGAUUCUGGCUCAGAACAAACGCUGGCGGCGUGCCUAACACAUGCAAGUCGUACGUGAAAGUCCCGCAAGGGACAAGUAAAGUGGCGACCGGGUGAGUAAUACAUAGGUAACCUACUUAUAAGUUGGGAAUAACAGUUCGAAAGGACUGCUAAUACCGAAUAUUAUAUUAUAACACAAGUUGUAAUAUCAAAGAUGGCCUCUUUACAAUGCUAUCGCUUAUAAAUGGGCUUAUGAACCAUUAGCUAGUUGGUGGAGUAAUAGCCUACCAAGGCAAUGAUGGUUAGCUGGUCUGAGAGGAUGAUCAGCCACACUGGAACUGAAACACGGUCCAGACUCCUACGGGAGGCAGCAGUGGGGAAUAUUGCGCAAUGGGGGAAACCCUGACGCAGCAACGCCGCGUGAGCGAUGAAGGCCUUCGGGUUGUAAAGCUCUGUCAGAUGGGAAGAAACCCCAUUACUCUAAUACAGUUAUGGAUUGACGGUACCAUCAAAGGAAGCACCGGCUAACUCCGUGCCAGCAGCCGCGGUAAUACGGAGGGUGCAAGCGUUGUUCGGAAUUACUGGGCGUAAAGGGCGCGUAGGCGGUAUAAUAAGUUAGGUGUGAAAUCUUCGGGCUUAACCCGAAAAGUGCACUUAAAACUGUUAUACUAGAGUUCGGGAGGGGAAAGCGGAAUUCCUAGUGUAGAGGUGAAAUUUGUAGAUAUUAGGAAGAACACCGGUGGCGAAGGCGGCUUUCUGGAACGAUACUGACGCUGAGGCGCGAAAGCGUGGGGAGCAAACAGGAUUAGAUACCCUGGUAGUCCACGCCGUAAACGAUGAACACUAAGUAUAGGAGGAUUAUUCCUCCUGUG